GACGGUCCCAUGCUUUGCAACAUCGCAGGGUAUAAUACUUUAGACAACACGAAGUCACUCAUAUGAACCUCUGAAGUUUGCAGGAAAAUCCAACAUGAAAAUAGCGCUCCAAGGGAAAAAAAUGAAGACUUUAGGAGUCGUUGUCUUUUUCGUAUUCUUUAUGACAAUCGCCAUGGCGAGCCAAGUGGAAGUAGGGAGAGAAAGAUGUUUUCCUUCAAACGGAUGUCGAUGUUUACAUCAAUGCGAUCGAUACCAUCACCCUUGCAGUCAUUCGCGGUUUUGCCCAAUGAGGUGGCGUAAACCAUGCUGUCUUUUUUAAGAAAUACCAAGACAUCCAAGGUUGUCAUUAAUUAUGUUUGAUUAUUCAACGCUAUGCAUCAUGGGUGAAUAAAUAAUUAAAUAUUUUUGAAAUACGUA